GGCGCAGUAGGCAAAUCGGGUACAGCCGCCGGACCUUCACUCCGGUGCUUGCGGGUUCGAGUCCCGUCUGCGCUGC
rnacentral:tRNA from 1 species